GGGAGAGAGGACUUGCCCAAGGUCACACAGGUAGCAGCAGCAAAUGCUGGACCUCCCCGACAGACCUCUCUGGAGGGAUACUGGCCACUGGGGGAGCCCCUCAUCUCCUUCGCAGCAUUGCCAGCUCUAGCGAAUGCUCUUAGCAGGUCAGGCUGGCUAUUGCUAUUGCCAGGAAAGUGUCACUGAUACCAUCAGACCCCAAGGCAUCUGCUGUUCCACAGCAAGGCCCGCAGGAACUCCCCUGGUCUAUGCUGUGAACAGCAUCAGAGGAAUCAAGACUGCUUUUGUCUCAACUUUCCUGCUGGAGGGGCGAGGUCUGAGCUAUCAACUUAGGCUGGGGCCUGUGGCCAGGCAGGACCCAAGGGUGCAGCAGAACGAGAGCCAAGAGUGAUGCCUCCAGAGCGCAGGAUGAAAGCUGACCACUCGUCUGUGGCAGACAGACCAGCACUCCAGCCAUCCAGUGAGGGCUCUCCUGGUCCCCCAGUGACUUUGUUCAGAACCAGGGUGCUGGCAUCCGUCCCAGUGACCUGGUGUGGCUUAUGUCAUGACCUAAGGAUACUUGAGUUCAGUUCCCCUUUGUUAAGGGCCUUCUGUGUGUCCUUGUGAGCAGGGCACUGAGUGGCCAUGGGAGGCUGCACUUGGCAGAGGCAGAAGAGAGGACUCUUUGGUGCCGACUCCAGUGACAGUGGCCCCUCAGGUUUCUUUGGCAAUCUGAAAGGGCAUAGCCUACUGCUGAUGAAACAGUGUUUUCCAUCUCUGUCUUCCCGAUCAGAUAUCAUCUGUCUACGAGGCUUGGGAGGGGAGGGGAUCAGAUCUCCAGAGACUCCGGAUCUGCUCCCUGAUUUCCUACCAGGUAGGAGGAAUUGCUUUAGGAAGAAAAUUGUCAGGGGGUGGAGAACCAGCAUGGUUCCGGGAAACGCUGCAUGGCUCCCCUCCCUCCUUCUCCCCUUCCUUCCCACUGCUCCAGCAGCGGCUGUUCAGACGCCAGCACAGCUGACCUUAACAUUGACAGACAAGCCCCCCCACCCCCAACCCAUUCCCACAGGCCUGCUUUAACUGGGAGGUGCUGCUUUGUGCCAUUUGUGCCUUUGCAUGGGCCACACACAGCCUCCUGGGGACAGGGGCAAAACACAUAUUACAGGUGCGUGCAAUCUGGGCAGGAGAAGGUGGGAAUGUCUUUGUCUUCCACGGGCGUAGUAGAUGUUAUCUAUGGGCUUUUUAUGUUUUCAGAGGUUAUGUGAGAUCCUGAGGCCUUCCUCUUCUAGGCUGAAUCAAGCCCCCCAAAUUCGUAUGUUGAAGUCCUAACGCCUAGUACCUCAGAACGUGACUGUAUUUGGAGAUGGGACCUUUGAAGAGGCGUUUAGGGUAAAAUGAGGUCCUAUGGGCGGGCUGUAAUCCAGUAUGGCUGGUGUCCUUAUAAGAAGGGGAGAUUAGGACGCAGACAAGUACAGCGGAAAGGCCAUGAGAAGACACAGGGAGAAGACGGCCAUCUACAAGUCAAGGAGAGAGGCCUCAGACGGAGCCAACUCUGCUGACACCUUGCUCUCGGACUUCCAGCCUCCAGAACUGUGGGAAAAUAAACUUCUGUUGUUUAAGCA
rnacentral:lncRNA from 1 species